CUACGGGUUGCAGCAGUGGGGAAUAUAGCACAAUGGGCGCAAGCCUGAUGCAGCAACGCCGCGUGAGGGAUGAAGGCCUUCGGGUUGUAAACCUCUUUUAGCAGGGAAGAAGCGAAAGUGACGGUACCUGCAGAAAAAGCACCGGCUAACUACGUGCCAGCAGCCGCGGUGAAUACGUAGGGUGCAAGCGUUGUCCGGAAUUAUUGGGCGUAAAGAGCUCGUAGGCGGUUUGUCACGUCUGCUGUGAAAAUCCAAGGCUCAACCUUGGACUUGCAGUGGGUACGGGCAGGCUAGAGUGCGGUAGGGGAGAUGGGAAUUCCUGGUGUAGCGGUGGAAUGCGCAGAUAUCAGGAGGAACACCAAUGGCGAAGGCACAUCUCUGGGCCGUAACUGACGCUGAGGAGCGAAAGCGUGGGGAGCGAACAGGAUUAGAUACCCCAGUAGUC
rnacentral:rRNA from 1 species